GAUACGACCGUACCGCAAACCGACACUGGUGCGCGAGAUGAGUAUUCUAAGGCGCUUGAGAGAACUCAGGAGAAGGAACUCGGCAAAUUGACACCGUAACUUCGGAAGAAGGUGUGCCCUAUUAGUGUGUAGUGAACAACGAAGCAUGAAUGGGUUGCAAAAAAUCGGUGGCUGCGACUGUUUAUUAAAAACACAGCACUCUGCAAACACGAAAGUGGACGUAUAGGGUGUGACGCCUGCCCGGUGCUGGAAGAUUAAAUGAUGGGGUGCAAGCUCUUGAUUGAAGUCCCAGUAAACGGCGGCCGUAACGAUAACGGUCCUAAGGUAGCGAAAUUCCUUGUCGGGUAAGUUCCGACCUGCACGAAUGGCGUAACGAUGGCCACACUGUCUCCUCCUGAGACUCAGCGAAGUUGAAAUGUUUGUGAUGAUGCAAUCUCCCCGCGGAAAGACGGAAAGACCCCAUGAACCUUUACUGUAGCUUUGUAUUGGACUUUGAACAGAUCUGUGUAGGAUAGGUGGGAGGCUUUGAAGCAGGGUCGCUAGAUCUUGUGGAGCCAACGUUGAAAUACCACCCUGGUGUGUUUGAGGUUCUAACCUAGGUCCAUUAUCUGGAUCGGGGACAGUGCAUGGUAGGCAGUUUGACUGGGGCGGUCUCCUCCCAAAGCGUAACGGAGGAGUUCGAAGGUACGCUAGUUACGGUCGGACAUCGUGACGAUAGUGCAAUGGCAUAAGCGUGCUUAACUGCGAGACUGACAAGUCGAGCAGAUGCGAAAGCAGGACAUAGUGAUCCGGUGGUUCUGUAUGGAAGGGCCAUCGCUCAACGGAUAAAAGGUACUCUGGGGAUAACAGGCUGAUACCGCCCAAGAGUUCAUAUCGACGGCGGUGUUUGGCACCUCGAUGUCGGCUCAUCUCAUCCUGGGGCUGUAGCCGGUCCCAAGGGUAUGGCUGUUCGCCAUUUAAAGAGGUACGUGAGCUGGGUUUAAAACGUCGUGAGACAGUUUGGUCCCUAUCUUCCGUGGGCGCUGCAGAUUUGAGGAAGCCUCCUAGUACGAGAGGACCGGAGUGGACACACCUCUGGUGUAUCGGUUGCCACGCCAGUGGCAUUGCCGAGUAGCUAAGUGUGGAAGAGAUAACCGCUGAAAGCAUCUAAGCGGGAAACUCGUUUCAAGAUGAGAUCUGCCGGGGCCUUGAGCCCCCUAAAGAGUCGUUCAAGACCAGGACGUUGAUAGGUCAGGUGUGGAAGCCAAAAAA
rnacentral:rRNA from 1 species